UUAUAUAGAGAGAAUGACUUAGCCACCAAAUAAUAAAUACUAGAAUCUCUAGACAUUUACCAUAAAUAGAAUUCUAUUUAUAACAAAUUGUAUUUAUAACACUUUCACAAUUUUGGCCCAUAAAUUAUUAUCCUUCUAAUACCCUCCUUAAACCCCAAAAUCACUAACAUCCACCCCUCUUCUUCCGCCGCGGCCGCCGCCGUAAUCUCAUUCAUACGACGACGUUUAGGGUAUAAUCAUGAACGCUCCAUCACCCCACCACGAUGAAGAUGAACACGAAGAAGAGGUCUUCAUAGAUGAAAAUGAUAUCAUUCAAGAAAUAAACGUUGAUGAAGAAGGUAUAAAACAAAAGUCCAAUCUUUUCCCCCAAACUCUUAUUUUUUUAUUUUAUUAUAGUUAGAUUUAUGGACAACUACAAAACAAAUAAUGGUUGCAGAGUUAAUUGAUGCUGAUGAAGAUGAUGAAGGAGAAGAAGAAGGAGGAGGAUUGUUAGGUGAGUUAUGUUUGGCUCAAUGGAAGUCUUUUGUUUUAAGUUUUCAGCUUUCUAUUUGACUUAAUCACUUCUAGAUGCCUUCUGAGUAUAUACAGCUAAAAUUUCAUAUAUCUUGGUUACUCAUGUUUCUGCUGUAAUUACUUUUACUUGCUCCCUACAUCCCAAUUUAUGUGAAUGUAUUUGACUGCACUACAGGUUUAAGAAAUAAAGAAAGACUAUUGUAACUUGUGGUCUAAAACAAGCCAUAUAUUUUUGUGAUUAUAAAUCACCUUAUAAAGGGUAAAAUGUAAAUUUUAAAGUUAAAUUAUUUCUAUAUAUAGAAUGGUGAUACACUAAAAAGUAAAGCGUAUCACAUAAAUUGUGACAGGGAGAGGAUAUCUUGCUGCAAGCUGCAAACUUUGCGAAAUUGAAUUAUUGCUGUAAUUCUGGGUUUGGACUUUGUAUUACUUAUUUUUCUUGUUGGGUG
rnacentral:lncRNA from 1 species